GACGAACGCUGGCGGCGUGCUUAACACAUGCAAGUCGAGCGGUAAGGCUCCUUCGGGAGUACACGAGCGGCGAACGGGUGAGUAACACGUGAGCAAUCUGCCCUUCACAUUGGGAUAACCCUCGGAAACGAGAGCUAAUACCGGAUAUGACCACCGGCGGCAUCGCCUGGUGGUGGAAAGCUCCGGCGGUGGAGGAUGAGCUCGCGGCCUAUCAGCUUGUUGGUGGGGUAACGGCCUACCAAGGCGACGACGGGUAGCCGGCCUGAGAGGGUGACCGGCCACACUGGGACUGAGACACGGCCCAGACUCCUACGGGAGGCAGCAGUGGGGAAUAUUGGACAAUGGGCGAAAGCCUGAUCCAGCAACGCCGCGUGAGGGAUGACGGCCUUCGGGUUGUAAACCUCUUUCAGCAGGGACGAAGCGAAAGUGACGGUACCUGCAGAAGAAGCACCGGCCAACUACGUGCCAGCCGCCGCCGUAAGAC
rnacentral:rRNA from 1 species